AAUGAACGCUAGCGGUAGGCCUAACACAUGCAAGUUGAACGCAUACUUUUACAGUAUAAGUAGCAAACGGGUGAGUAACGCGUGAGAAAUCUACCUUACAAUCUGGGAUAAAAUCCCGGAUUCUUUCUAAACUAGAUGUUCCGACAAAUAGUAUAGAAUAAAAGAUUAAAUGUCGUUGUAAGAUGUGCUCGCGUAGGAUUAGGUAGUUGGUGAGGUAAAAGCUACACCAAGCCGAAGAUCCUUAGCUGGUCUGAGAGGAUGAUCAGCCACACUGGGACUGAGACACGGCCCAGACGCCUUCGAGCGGCAGCAGUGAGGAAUUUUGGACAAUGGGCGAAAGCCUGAUCCAGCCAUAUCGCAUGAGUGAAGAAGGCUCAAUUGGUUGUAAAGCUCUGAUUUGAUUGAAGAUUAUGACAUAAGAUCAAAGAAUAGACCCGGCUAACUUCGUG
rnacentral:rRNA from 1 species